rnacentral:lncRNA from 1 species
GGGUUAAAGGGAUUACUAAGUUCAAAGAAUACGAAAAGAACACUUCAACACCACAGGAACAAUUCAACAGUGUCAAUCAAACCACAUAGUUUAAUAUAUAUAAUUUUAUACCCAAUUUCACAAUAUUCAACAAUUACAUGAAUGCACAUGAACGUGUGGCACACAGUCAUACAAUGCACUAUUGUUCUCGGGCUUUCACCGAAGGAUACGCGUCCGCACCCAAAUACACUCCCCAUUCGGAGUCUUCCCGGGGUAAACUUUUGGGUCUUUCACCCUAGGGAUCUCUCUCCCUUCUUAAUUCGCCUCACACGGGCUUCCACUUCUCAUCUCUAUUUCAUUUUUUCCAUUUCAUACACUUUUCACAAUCUUCAUGAUUUUAUUUAUUUAUUUAUUUAUUCACAUAACCAUGAUGCAAUGAAUGCCACAAUUCCAAUAUUCCUCAAUAAUUCAACAAUCUCAACAUUCCCCAAUAAUCCAAUCAAACAAUUUCACACAUUACAAUUUCCGAUAAUAUCCCAAAUAAAUAUUAAAAAAAUUGCAUAUCAACAAUCUUGAGAUUUUACCACACUUACAAAAUUUUUCAACCAUUAUAAUAAUUUCUAAUAUCCAAAAUUAACUAACUAUUUACCCUAAAAUUUUCGAAAAUAUUCUAACCAAUGCCUAAAAAUUCACAAAUCAUUAUAUUUAAAAUUUAACCCAAAUUUUGGAAUUUUCCAACCCAUCUAAUAAUUUUUAACCUUUCAAAACAAUUAAUUAUCAAUCAAAAUCAAUUUCCCGAAAUUCCAAAAAUUCCAAACAAACUCCAAAUAUUCUAGAAAAAUUCACACAACAUCCAUAAUUCCUAAUUAACUCAUAGUGACAAUAUUUACAAUUUUUUUUUCAAGGGAAAAACAUAAAAAUUUGAGUUUUAGGGUUAGGGUCCCCUACCUCAGAUCUGAAAAUUUGACCGUUAAAAACAAAAUCAGCCACCGCAGGCUUGUUCGUCUAGUCGAAUAGAGUAUUUCCUCCGAAUUUGGGCCAAAACGGAGAUCGUUUGGCCGUCCAAACGUCCGAUCAAAAUUCCGGCAAGUGCCCUAAUUUGCACAGUGCCCUUUUCUGUUUCUCUCUCCCGCGUGCGUGCUACCGCCAGUUCUCUCCCUUUUCCCCCCCUUUUUUUUUUUUUUUUUUACUAACAGCCCAGCCCACUUCACAUGGCUUUUUUAAAAAAAAAACCCACCAUUCCACUUGCUCCAAGCCCAACUCAAAAACUAAGCCCAAUCCAUUAUUAUUGUUAUUAUUUCUUUUCUUUUAUUUUAUUUUCUUUUCUUUAUUCUAAUUGUUUUAUUUAAUUUCCAAUUCAUUUUUCAUUCAUUUUUUUUUCAUUUUAACACACAAUUUUAUUUAUUAACACCAAAUAAAAACUAAUUUUCUCAAUAUUAUUAUUCAUCAAUUUAAUUUAAUUAAUUAAUUAAUUUUUCUUAAUUAAUUCUAAUUAAUCUUAAUUUAUUUAUUUUUCAUUUUUCGUUUUCGUAAAUUUCCAAUUUCUAAAAUCCUAAGAAUUUUCUAUCCUAAGGCUGACAUGGCAUAAAGUUUCAACUCGUUUAAUUGACCGACGCAAUAAAACGAAAUUAACCAAUCCGAAAUUGACACGUGUUCUCCAAACGCUUUUCUUUUUUACUUUUCAACCAUCACAUAAAUUAAGACUUUUCAAACUAAAAUUUCUAACGUGGCAUAAAAUACCCGGUCAUUACAAAGUACCUGAGAGCAUGCAGUUUAUUUGCUGUUGCUCUGAGCCUAAAGUUUCUUUCCUGAAGACAGUUUAUUUCCUCUCUACAGAACCUACUUUCCAUAGCUUGCAAUUUAGUGAAUGCCUUCUCAUUACCAUUGCCUUGAGUUGGAACGAAGUAGGGUAAAGUCUAUAACAAUUGACUUGUAGCUUCAAAUGUUGUGAGUGGCUCCUUGAUGCUUGCAUGUGACUUCCAGGCUCGAGUUGUUCCCUACUGGUCUUAUAUGAACACCCUCUCAUCUCUCUUUCUAACAGUGAGUAUUAGACCCCUGCAUGCAUGAGAAUCAAGGUGCGGGUAUGGAUGAUUGGCCUAAGAGAGCCUGGUGAGUAGAGGUGUAAGUGAUGGGUAUAUAUUGGAGGCAUGUAUGAUUAAGGAUUGAAUGAAGUGGAGCAAAAUGAUGGGGAAUAGGCUUAAAAUACACUUAGGAAAUGGGUAUGAGGGUUAGAGAGAGAAAAGGUGGUGAAGAAAUGGGUGUGAAGAGUGGAAACAUGAGCGUGAUGAGAUAUUUCCACUCCUGAACGUGGUCCAUGUUAUAAUCAGAAUCAAAACACUUCCUUCUCAACCUUUGAACCCUUUUGGAGUCGCCAAACCUUGUAGGGUUGACAAAUAGCGUCAUCAAUUCCAACUUUAUUUGCAAUUCCCACAUUUGUACCCACAAACUGCCUGUAACCUCUCCUCUCUAAUAUCAUCCUUCUACAAUGACUGCAAGGCUGAAUUAAAGUUCUCAAGGCCAUAUGGGGAAGCAGCCUCAGCUAAAGCAGCCAGUGACAGAGCAAUGAGAAUUCUCACCUUGCAAUUCUCAUCAUUGAACCCAUGCUGCACAAUCUAAUCGGCACCUCUCUUUGCCAAAAGAUAUUUCAGGUAAAUGAAUAUAACAACAGCAAUUUCAUGGCUUCUUACAUUAUGGCUGUGGAGGAUGAGUCGCACCAAGUUGGCCAAUGGAGUGAACAAGGCUAUCAGGGAUUCAUCCAUGCAUCAGACCGCUACUGGAAAUUCUAUGUGGAAGCAACGUAUUUGAAAUGAAUGGUCAUCACGGACAGAAUACACGAGAGAGAAACAAGUAUAUGGACGCACUUAGCUCCACGACUUAAUUGCUCUUACUGCAGCUGCAAUAGAUAAAUUGCAGCCACCAGCUCCCAUAAAAGCCAGAUUAUAUAAUAAUGGGCAGCACUGCAUUGAAUCUCGUCAUGUCAUCACAUUAGCAGAGAAGCAGAAAGAACCUCUCUGAAUCCUACCCAUACUCAUCCCAGCACAGAUAAUGAUAAAAUAUCUUCGUGCAAUGGGUCAUUUGACCAAGUCUUUAAUAAAUUGUUUUAUGUUGAGUCUUAUAUUUGUUAUGUUGUCUUGGUCUAUAGGAAAUUGUUUAUUGAGUCUCUUUAUUAUCUCCUGAUUUUUGGUGAUGGUGGUAGCAGAUUUAUUGAAACAUGGUUUCAUGGUCCUAUUUUUAUGCCUUUGUUGUUAUGGCUUUGUCAAGCCAGUUGAUUGUAUUGCCUAUUUAUUGGUUGUCUCAGUACAAAUAAAGUGUGGAAUUGUUUUCUCUGUUCUGGUUUUACUUUUGCUCAGUUUAUUUUAUCAGUGGUAUCAGAGCCCGGUUAACGUUAGAAAAGUGGGUUAAAACCAGAAAGUGAGAAUUGAGAGUGCCAAAACAGAGACAGAGAGUUUGUGAGACAGAGAGUCAUAUAGCAGCAUCUUUGUUUAUUUUCUUUCAGUAGUAGAAAAAAAAACAAUGGCCUCUGAAAAUUUUGUGCAACCUGCAAUUCCACGUUUUGAUGGUCACUAUGACUAUUGGAGCAUGUUGAUGGAGAAUUUCUUACGAUCUAAAGAGUACUAGCAAGUAGUCUCUGGAGGGAUAGCAGAACCAGCAACGAACUCACCAAUGAUGGAUGCGCAGAAAACAGAGAUUGAAGGACAAAGAUUAAAAGAUCUAAAGGCAAAGAAUUAUUUGUUCCAAGCUAUUGAUCGCUCAAUCUUGGAAACUAUUCUGUGCAAGGACACCUCCCAGCAGAUUUGGGACUCCAUGAAGAAGAAGUACCAGGGAUCAACGAGGACUAAGAGGCAGCAGCUUCAAGCACUUCGAUCUGAGUUCGAAACACUUCGAAUGAAACCGGGGGAAUCAGUUUCUGAUUACUUCUCAAGAACAAUGGCAAUCAUCAACAAAAUGCGAAUUCAUGGCGAGAAGAUGGAGGACGUGAUUGUUAUUGAGAAAAUUCUUCGGUCAAUGACGCCAAAAUUUAACUAUGUUGUUUGUUCUAUUGAGGAAUCGAAAGACCUUGAUGAACUAUCAAUUGACGAGUUGCAAGGAUCUUUGUUAGUUCAUGAGCAGAAAAUCAUCCAGGAGGACAAGGAGGAGCAAGCUUUAAAGGCUUCAACUAACAACAACGCUUUGACAAUGAAUAGAUCAGCAGAUCGAGGUAGAGGCAAAGGAAGAGGAGUUCAAGGAGUUAGAGAUGGAGGUAGAGGAAGAGGUGGACGAGGCAAUUUUAGAGUUGAUGAAGAUCAACCAGAUUUCCAAAAUAGAGGCAGAGGCCGAAAUCAACAAUUUGACAAAUCCAAGGUAGAGUGUUUUAGAUGUCAUAAAUUUGGCCAUUACCGUUCUGAAUGUUAUACUAAAUUACCUAACGACAAAGAAAAAUGAGAGAAAUCUAAUUAUGCAGAAAAGAAAGAAGUUGAAACCUUGUUGAUGGCUGCUCAAGUCAAUGAACAACCUCAGGCAGAAGUGUGGUAUGUGGACACAGGCUGCAGCAACCACAUGUGUGGUAGUAAGUCUUCUUUUUGUUUUCUAAAUGAAGGUUUUCGUUCUUCAGUGAGCUUUGGUGAUUGUUCUACUGUGAAUGUAAUGGGAAAGGGUGAUAUUAAUAUUAGAACCAAGAAUGGUUUUGUAGAAACAAUUUCCAAUGUUUUUUAUGUACCAGACUUGAAAAGUAAUUUGUUAAGUGCUGGUCAAUUGCAAGAAAAGGGUUACAUAAUAACAAUUCAGAAGGGUGCUUGUGAGAUAUAUGAUCCUUCGAGAUGUGCUAUUGUUGUUGUUCAAAUGGCUUCAAACAGGUUGUUUCCAUUGAAGAUUGAUAGUGUCCAGUCUUUCUUAAUGGCUGAAGUGAAAGAUUUUUCAUGGCUUUGGCAUUUACGCUAUGGCCAUUUGAAUUUUGGUGGAUUAAAAACUCUCCAACAGAAACAUAUGGUGACAGGUUUUCCUCAAAUUUCCAUUCCUUCUCAAGUUUGUGAAGAAUGUGUUGUUGGCAAACAACAUCGUUCUCAAUUCCCUCAAGGAAAGUCGCGAAGAGCAAAGAAUGUCUUGGAACUGGUUCACUCUGACAUUUGUGGUCCAAUUAAUCCAACUUCUAAUGGGGGUAAAAAAUAUCUAAUUAUCUUUAUUGAUGAUUAUAGUCGAAAAACGUGGGUUUCUUUUUUGCAGGAAAAAUCAGAAGCUUUUAGUGCAUUUAAAAGCUUCAAGGCACGCGUUGAAAAAGAAACAGGAAGAUCCAUCAAAAUUCUCCGUACUGAUCGUGGUGGAGAAUAUUGUUCAAAUGAAUUUGAACAUUUUUGUGAUGAUCAAGGCAUACGAAGAGAACUCACGGCUGCUUAUACACCGCAACAGAAUGGUGUAUCGGAGAGAAAAAAUAGAACCAUCCUCAACAUGGUGAGGAGCUUGCUUGUAAGGGGCAAAAUUCCAAAGAGUUUUUGGCCGGAGGCAGUGAAUAGAAGUAUCCAUGUGUUGAACAGAAGUCCUACAUUUUCUGUUCAAAACAUGACACCGGAGGAGGCUUGGAGUGGAUGGAAACCAGCUGUAGAUCACUUCAAAAUUUUCGGUUGCAUCGCCUAUGCACAUGUCCCAGAUGAGAAAAGGAAGAAACUUGAUGAUAAGGGUGAAAAAUGUGUUUUUUCUUGGCAUAAGUGAAGCAUCCAAAGGAUAUAAAUUGUUCAAUCCACUCACGAAGAAGAUUGUGACCAGUAGAGAUGUUAUUUUUUAUGAGGAGAGCACCUGGAAUUGGAAUGGGCAGCAGCCUACUCAAGUCAUUUUUGACAAUGAUGCUGAAGAAGAAAGGCAGCAGCUUCUACAACAACAAAUUCCUACGGUUUCUAUACCUGAAAGUCCACCAAAUGAUGCUCCAACAGCCGCUGAAACUUCAUCAACAGCAACAGAGAGUAAUGUAGUUGCUGAAUCACAACUUCGCCGUGUUCGAAAAAGGCCCGCAUGGAUGCAAGAUUUUGAGGUAACUGGAGUUCAAUCUGAUAACUAUGAUACAAUUGCUGAUUAUGCUUUGUUAUCAGAUUGUGAUCCCAUUACAUUCCAAGAAGCUAUCAAGGAUUUAAAGUGGCAUAAGGCUAUGAAUGAGGAGAUCGGGUCUAUAGAGAAAAAUAAUAGUUGGGAGCUAGUUGAACUUCCAAAAGGGCAGAAAUCCAUUGGUGUUAAAUGGGUUUAUAAAACGAAGUUGAACAAAGAUGGUGGAGUUGAUAAGUACAAAGCUCGGCUUGUUGCAAAGGGGUACAAGCAAGAAUUCGGAGUGGAUUACAAAGAGGUGUUUGCUCCAUUAGCAAAGCUUGACACUUUUCGCUUGGUGUUAUCCAUGGCUGCCCAAAACUCAUGGUCUAUCCAUCAGUUAGAUGUGAAGUCAGCAUUUUUGCAUGGAGAGUUGGAAGAAGAAGUUUAUAUUGAUCAACCCCCUGGGUAUGUGAAGCAAGGUUAUGAGAAUCAGGUAUAUAAGUUAAAGAAAGCACUAUACGGACUGAAACAAGCACCAAGAGCUUGGUACAGUCGUAUAGAUGCUUAUUUUACUGAGGAAGGUUUUAUUAAAUGUCCAUAUGAGCACACUCUUUACACUAAAUAUGGUGUUGAUAAGAAGAUUUUAAUUGUGUGUUUAUAUGUUGAUGAUCUCAUUUAUACUAGUAAUAAUAAAACCAUGCUUGCUGAUUUUAAGAAGUCUAUGAUGAAAGAAUUUGAUAUGAUUGAUAUGGGAUUAAUGCACUAUUUUCUUGGCAUUGAGGUAGUGCAAUCAUCUGCUGGUGUUUUCAUUUCUCAAAAGAAAUAUGCUCUAGAGAUUUUGGACAAGUUUAUGUUGAAGGAUUGUAAUUCAGUCAUCACCCCAAGUGAAGUUGGUCUGAAACUCUCAAAGAGUGGAGCAGGAAAGAGGGUGGAUAGUACUCUUUACAAGCAGAUCGUUGGAAGUCUUAUGUAUCUGACAUCUACAAGACCAGACAUUAUGCACGCAGUCAAUUUAAUCAGUAGAUACAUGGAGAAUCCAAUUGAAGUUCAUCUUUUGGCUGCAAAAAGAAUUUUUCGCUAUUUGAAAGGUACUGUAGACUUUGGGAUUCUAUACAAAAGGGGUGAAAGAUCAAGUUUGAUUGGUUUUUCAGAUAGUGAUUAUGCUGGAGAUCUUGAUGAUAGAAAGAGCACUUCUGGAGCAGUGUUUAUGUUGAAUUCUGGAGCUAUUACUUGGUCAUCAAAGAAGCAAUAGAUUGUGACUUUGUCAACUACGGAAGCUGAGUUCGUUGCUGCAGCAUCAAGCUCAUGUCAAGCUAUUUGGCUGAGAAGGUUACUUGAAGUUUUGUACAACCAGCAACAAGGUCCAACAGUGAUUUACUGUGAUAACCUCUCUGCAAUAAAACUCUCAAAGAAUCUAGUCUUACAUGGGAGAAGCAAACACAUUGAUGUGAGGUACCACUUCUUGCGUGAUUUAUGUAUAGAUGGAGUUAUUGAUUUGGUGUUUUGCAAAAGUGAAGAUCAAAUUGCAGAUAUCUUGACUAAGCCCCUCAAGCCUGCUGUUUUUAUGAAACUUCGAAGUAUGCUUGGAGUUUGUUCUUCAAAGGAGGUUGUGGCUGCUUCAGGAAAGGUUUUGCAAAUUGAUUCCUAAACUGAUUUCUGCAGAUAUCAGUUUAAGGAAGGGUGAUAAAAUAUCUUCGUGCAAUGGGUCAUUUGACCAAGUCUUUAAUAAAUUGUUUUAUGUUGAGUCUUAUAUUUGUUAUGUUGUCCUGGUCUAUAGGAAAUUGUUUAUUGAGUCUCUUUAUUAUCUCCUGAUUUUUGGUGAUGGUGGUAGCAGAUUUAAUGAAACAUGGUUUCAUGGUCCUAUUUUUAUGCCUUUGUUGUUAUGGCUUUGUCAAGCCAGUUGAUUGUAUUGCCUAUUUAUUGGUUGUCUCAGUACAAAUAAAGUGUGGAAUUGUUUUCUCUGUUCUGGUUUUACUUUUGCUCAGUUUAUUUUAUCAGAUAAGCCAUUUCCAGAAUAUUUCAAGCUACCUUUCUAGGUGAUUGAGGUUUCAGUUCAGUAACGAGAUCAAAACCCCCUCAAUUAACAUUUGGAGUUUAUAUAAAUGAAUUAUCACGCCAACUUCCCUCUUGCCAUGCAGCUCUGCCUUCGUGUCACUUGUAUCAUGAUUUCCUCUUUGAAAUCUGAUACAUGUCACGGAUGGGUACUAGGAACAGGGAAGGGUGAAGAAACAGAGCAUAAAAUGGAAAGAAUAAAUAAAGAAAGCUUUAGAAAAUUCACUUCAUGGGUCAUCAGUGAACCUUUAGAGCAGGUGAGCAAGACACAUCAAAUGCAUGCAUGAUUCUUGAGCAUUUCAUAACCACAAUAGGAGCAGAGAAAAUUAAAAACGGGCAAAUCCACACAAAUGCAGGCAUAUAUAUCAACAAACGGAUCAGUGGCCUUCAACAUCCACCCCAAACAGCAUUAUGUUAAGGAAAAUCAAUGAAUAAUGAGAGACGAAAGAAAAAUUGUGCACAUACCGGAUUCCUUAAGCAACGAGAAUCAAAUUUUAGCUCUCUUAGUGAACUUUCCCUGUUUCCUCUCCUCUCUGAGAAUAUCCCUCUCUGCAGCCACCAGCCUCCAAAAUGCACCUCUCCUUCUGAAACUCAGAACUCUCUGAAAAACCCCGCUAGGAACCCUCACUCUCUGCAGCUGAAAAAAAAAAAAAAAAAAACCCCUCUCCCUCCUCUCUCACUCUCCUCCAGCAAUGGAAAACUCCUCCCCUCACCUAGCUUCUCUCUCUCUCUACAGCUUCUCCAAUAUCUCGUCUCCCAUACAGCAAUGGAAAACUCCUCCCCUCACCUAGCUUCUCUCUCUCUAAAUAUCUCUAACGGCCUCCUCCCAGACCAUCCUCCAGCAGCCCAGGCACCUCACCCAGCUGGCAGCCUCCACUACUCCACUCAAAAAGCAUCCCCUUAACAGAAAAAAAUCCUCUCAAAAUAUCUCUCAGCCGGCAGAAAAAGCACCCCUCUCCUACGCUCCUCUCAACAGCCAAAUAUUCUUCUGAUUCACUUUUUCCAGGUGUCAAUCUCUGAUUGGCCUUCAAAAACACUAUUCUGAUUCCAUGAUGGCCAAUCAGGGAUUGACACAUGGCUGUCUAGGGACGCGACACUUGGCUGAAAAAUUAGAUGCAAGAAUGUUUAAAAUUCAUCCCAAUUUGGGGGUCUACACAUACAUUCAUAUAAAAUUUCCAUAAAAUAAAAUUUUAAAUUUAUAAAAUACAAAUUUCAAAUAUUCAUCUAAAAAUAAUUAAUAUUUCAUUUUUAUUUUUUUUGUCAAAAGUAUUGCAUUUGAUCAUCUAAGUGAUACUUUUAACCAGUAAAUCGAUGAAACUUAAAUUAUUUUUAGAUGAUUAGUAUUUUAUAAUUUAUGACUGAGGAAUAGAAAAAUAAUGUGGACACAUUUCCCCUUUCGGUGGAUAAGACCAAAAGUAGCAAAAAAAAUUCCCACUAUAUUGGCAAAACCCAACAUCAAAAUCUUUAAAGUUGAUCCAAACAUUUUUGAGGCUCCAAAUUGUCUAGGCCCACUCUAAAAAUCUCUUGUCACUACUUUAUAAUAAAUAAAUAAAUCCCUGAGACAUCACUUUCUAUCAAAUUUAGGCAUAUGCGUCACCGGCCAUUUAUAACAACUUAGCAACUUUUUAUUUUUAUGAUGAGACUUUUUUUUUAAUUUAUAUAACCUUUGACCUUUUCAUAUAAUAUAAUUUAAUUUUUAUGGGGGGUUGAAAACAAGAAAUAAAUAACACUUGAUAAUUAAAAUAUCAAUCAUAUUUAUUAUUUACAUAAUAUAUGAAUAAUAUUUGUAAUAGUUUUAAAAACUAAUUUAAAAAUGUUAAAAUAUUAAAAAAAUUACUAUAUCCAAUUUUAGUACCGUUUAAUCAUAUUUUCUUAAACUUGUUUUUAAAAACCAUUUUUUAUUUUUUAACUUAAAAACUGUUUUUAAAAAUAAAUUUCAAAAUAUAUAGUCAAAUAGACUCAUAUUUUCCUUUUAUUUUUAAAAAUUAAUGAAAAUAACUACUACUUAUUUUCUAAAAUUUAUUUUCUAUUUUAUUUUAUUUUUAAAAUUUAUUUUCCUAGAACAACGACCAAACAGUGUUCAAAAAUUUUAAAAACAGUUUUUUGUUUUUAAAAAUAAAAAACUAUUUUUAUAGCACACUCGGUCAGAUUCUAAAUUUUUAAAAAUAUAUAAAGUAAAUUUAUAUCCUAAAUUUUUAUAUGUAAUUUAUUGUUAUAUUCUAAAACGGGCACUACUUUUAGGAGGAUUAAAAAUUUGAGCACAAAGAAAAAGAGAAGAUCUUGAAUUGAAUUUUGAAGUAUGAUUUCCAUAGAGAAUAUAAUCAUAGAGAAUUUCAAGGUAGGAUUAUGGAUAUCCUGAAAAUUCGAUUCCUGUCUCAUCUUCAAGCUCGAAGAUGCUUGCUUUCUAAACAAUAUUAUUAUAUGCUAAUUUAAUGGUCCACAUUGAUCUCUGCGAAACUAAUGAUGACAAGUGGCAUUAUUGAACUUUAAUGGUCCUUCUAAAACAAACACAUCUGGACAUAUAGACAUAGAGACUCUGGCAGACAAAUACAUACCUACCUUAUCACCAUUAUUCACCUUUAUUUGGACUAUACAAAUAUAUAUAUAUAUAUAUAUAUCACUACUAGUAAUUUAUUUUGAUAAUUAAUCACUUUGCAAAAAGUGAUAUCAACAUGAUGUCACAUUUUUGGAAAAAAAAAAUUUAAACAAGAUGCGAGAAUUUAAAAGUGGGGAAAAGUUUUGGACUUUUAUUUACAUUUAAUUUUGAAUUUGGAUUGGAGAUUUAAUUUUAAACAAGUUGGUGCUUAUUUGGAAUAUUAAUUUUCUUAAAGAAUAGAAUUGAUGUUUUAUAAAAAUUAAGGAUUUGUUUGACAAUGAUUUUGUUAGAUUGUGAAUUCGUUUAGAAUGUCAAGAGUUGAGUUGCCCAAUCAGCUCAUAGGGUUGAAAAAGCAGUGUCCUUCGAGAAAAAAAUUUAUAUGAUCAUUGACGAGUUUAUUUCUAUUAUAUAUUUAACAAUUUUAUUUUUAAGGUUUUAUUUUUUAGAGAGUGUGAUCACAAUUAAGAGGUUUUUUUUUUCUAUCUUUAUUUUCUUUUCUUCCUUUUUGCAAUCCUUCUUUUUUUUAUUUUAUAUAUUUGUAUCAGCCUCCCAAAAACUCAAUCUGCUGAAGGAAACCCACUUUCCUUUCUUUUAUUUCCCCUCCUUUUCGAAAAAUCAGAAUGAUUCUCUUUCUAUGUAGGGUCUCCUCAUUCUAUAUGUAUGCAACAAUUUUAAUCAUUUUUUCCCUCCAAAAAUAUUUUUCUUACCUUCUUUGAGUGCAUGUGCCUUAGUGAGAGUUGAACAGCAACCCACAUUCUCUUGUCAAACAAUAAUAACAAAAAUAAAAAGAAUAAAACCAAAAAAGAGUUGGCAAUGUUAUAAAAGAAUGAAAUAAAAUAAAAUAAAUAAAUAAAGUAAAACAUAAGAUUUUGUAAAUGUUCUCUAAUUUUACCAAGGAAUUUAUUGACAGUUCAAGGAGUUGGCUAAAUCUCCUUGUGUGAUUUCUAAAGGAAAAUUCUAUCAUCAUUUCUAUCUUGGUGUGUCAGUCCAUUCUAUUAAUAAAAGACCACGCUUUCCUUUUUGUUUGUAGUUGUUCUCCUUAACCAAGUCCAUUUGUUCUUUUCAUAAGCAUAUGGGUCAUUGACCUUAUAAUAAAGGAAUUCAAUAACAAAUGCCCGACUAUGGGUUGUGAACUCAAGACACUAGAUGAUAUGAACAAUUGAGGGCUAUAAUUGAUAUGAAAAACUCCAACCCAUGAUCUCAAGGCUUAAGUUUCAUGAUUAUAACUCUUCUCGUUCAUUCUAAUAAGUGGAUUCAUAAAUCUUCAUGAAUAUAAGGAUCACAAUGAUUUUCGAAUAAUGUUAAAAAUCUUAUAUUUUUUCUUAUUUUUUAUGUGUAUACUUAGUUUGAUUGAGGGAUUUUAGAAAGCAAUUUUACUUUAAAAAGUAUUUGAAAACACAAAAUUAAGUAAUUGACGAAAUUUAUGAAAUACUUUUAAAUGUUUGAAAAAUUAAUAAUUUUUAUAAAAAUUAUAAUAAGUAAAUCCAAUCAAGACUGACAUAAAUUUUCAAAUUCUAUUAUCAAUUUUGUAUCUUAUUUAAAAUUAUUAUUAUUAAAAUCCAAACCCACGUAAAUUUUAUGAAAUUCUAUUAUUUUCACUUUAACAUAUAUUGGCUUUUUCUUUUUUCUUUUUCCACGUUUAUAAAAUUACAAUAAAACAAAAGUCGGAGGCAAGAAAAGAUGCCGGCGGCCAUUACCACAAGAAAAAGAAAUGUCAUGGUCCGAACAAAACGCAAAAUCAAGGUACAGGACUUAAAGACUUAAAUCGUUUGCGGCGGGGUCCACCUGAAGCCCAUCAUCCUCAUAAUCAUCACUGAUCUGAUCAAGAACGAGCACUAAUCCCAUGGCAAAAGCCCCACCGAAGCCAGGCUUGAGGCACAGGGUGAAAACGUCCUUCCCAAGCAUCACAUGCGUUGAAGCAUCCACUUUGCGUCUGAUCUCAGCCACUGACUCCUUGGCUGCAUUAAAAAUCGUGCAACAUCGAUGGCUGAAGGAGCCCUCUAUCUGGUAGUCCUCACCUGGAUUGCUGUACAUCUCCACCGUCACGCCCGACCGUCCGAUUAUCGAUGAUCUCUUCACGCUGAAGAUCGGCUUCUUCCCGUCGAUUCCCUCCCCAAGGAACCCUUCCCACCGUUGAUGUAGACUCGGCCUCUAACUCACAUCACAGAGUCGGUCAAACACACAAAAUCAGGAAACUCGCUGAGUUGACUCGGUUAUUUAAUAGCACACAUGCGUAAACCGAUGCACAAUCGAUUGGGACUAUAGCUAUAAUAAAUUAAUUAUAUAAAAAACUAAUCUUUUAAAAUUUGAAAAUAAUGAAGCUUAAAACACUGCGGGUUGACUCGGACUGUGCAAGCGAACGGGUCACGAGUUUUGUUGCAGUGAACUGUAAAAAAUUGGUAACCCAUUAAUUAAAAUCAGAAUAAACGGCAACCCAGUUCGGCAAAAUUAAGGUUGCUUGAUUCUUUACAUUUCUCUGAAUUGGUAACCCAACGGGUUAACUCGGAAACAACAAGAGGGACGAGUCACCACGAUUAGAUUAGUCAAAAUGGAAUCGGAUUGGUACCCUUUGAUCAAAAUGAGGAACAGAGGCAAAACCCUUUUCAGAAAAUUCCGAUUCUUGCUUUAUCUGUACGUAUGUACUUAGAUACUAACUUGACUCACUGAGUUAACUCGGAGGGAGGAGAGUAAAGGAGCGGAGUGUAAAAAUACCUUUCGGCGGACGGUGAGGAGACAGCGGCCGGAGGCGUCCAUGAGAAUGAGCUCGCCCUUGUCACGCGCGUCAGGCUCGUAGGAGUCGACUCGGAAGACAAGCGUGCCCUUGGGGUCGUAGACAGUGAAGCCAUCGCCAGUGAAGAAGAGGGAGGUCUUGAAAACAGUGAGUUGGAUCUCUUCCUCGUAGAUGAACCCCUCUUCAACCACUGCUCCUGCUUUCAUCUCCUUCUUCUGGAAGAAUAUGAUUCAGAAUUGAGAUUUCGGAGGUUUCAAUGUGAUAUCUUCACUGUUUGGGAGAUGGGAAAGUUCAAAUGCGAGGAUGAGAAUUUCUAGACGUUGAAGAAAAUAAAUAGGGAGAAAAGAGAGGUGGGUCUAUCUGGUAAUGGACAUGUGGCUCCUAUUAAGCUAUUACUUCCCACAGCCUCAGCCCCUCUCUCGCCCCGUAAAACACGGUGCUUCUCCGUUUACAGCACACCCUUUUUCUCUACUGUCUUGUCUCUUCAACGUGGAAAUUUUCAGCCAUCCUUAAAACAAAAACAAAAAGUAAAAAAACAAACAAUAAGGAAAAAACAAAAAACAUUUCGAAUUCCUUGUAUUCGAAUGUCUGUUUUAUACGGAUUUACAUGGUGUCGGAAAAAUAGAGCUGAAAAUUUAUGUAAAUUUCUUACCGAUAUAAAUUAUUUUUGUUAUAUUUUGUUUUCUAAUUAUUUUAAUAUAUUCUGUCUUUUGGGAAAAAAUUGUAGCCUCCAACUAAAACAUAUAUUUUUUAAUUAUUAAGAGCUUUACUUUAUGUUAGAGUUUAGUAAUCAAAAUUCUAUUUAAUCCAAUCCAAAAAGUUAUUGAUGCGAUAUAUAUGAUGAAGAAAAAUUAUAAGAUUUUUUUAGGAUGUGUGAUUAUCAAAGUUCUGAUAAUUACCUUAACACAUUAAUAAAUUAAAAAUAUAAAAACUUUUAUAACUCUAAUCCUAAUCCUAGGCAUUUUAGUAAUUUUUUUUCCAAAAGUAAGUAAAAUCAUUAAUAUGAUGGUUUGACUAAAAGGACACGUAAGACAUGUUUAUUAAGAAAAAAUUACCGACAAAAAUAGUGAAAAACGAUAUAUACCUAAUUGACACAUGAAAAAAAAGGAAAAAUCCAAUCUUUUUUGUUUUUUUUCCAAAAAAAAGCCCAAAUCUAAGGAAAGAAGUUUCCCACGGAUAAAAGCUAUAAAUACCAAAUGACAUAGGAGAAAAGCCAAGUCUCUCUUCACAAUACAAACAAUAAAAAGAGUAAAGAGAAAGGCAAGUCAUGUCCCCCUCCUUUAAAGCUUCCUUGUGGUAACCAAAUUUAAGCAUUCUCUUAUAUCUUUUACUAUAUAUUUUGACUAAAAAGAUAUUUAGGUAUGAUCAUUUUCUUCCCUUUACUCUCAUUUUGCCUACCAAAUGACCUAUGGAGAAUUUUAGUAUAUUUAAAACUCAUUUAAUAACCAAGUUAUGUCUUAUUUAAGUCAAUGCAAUUAACACCUUAAUCUAAUAAGUUUUAUGAUUCAAUUGAUAUGUAUUUUUAAAAUCAAAUUUUAAAUGAGUCAAAUUAAUAUGAGUUAAAUGAAUUAUGAUAAUAAUCAGGUUAAUCGAUGUAAUUAUUAAAUAAGUUAUUUUAGGUCAAAGUUGCAUUAUACAACUUAACCCAAAAACAAAUUCUUUAUUAAACAGAUUAUAUAAGUUGAUACCAGUUUAACCCAAAUAUAAUUAUAUUAAACUGAAACUUGUAAAAAUAUAUAUAUCAAAUUUGAGUCAAAUAAGUCAAUCCUUUCAAUUUAGUGCGAUGUUGAGUUGUUCACACCAACUCAUUGCUUCAAAUUUCGCUUAGAGGACCAAUUAUGGACAUAAUAUACCAAAGUUCUUCAAUGUAUUAAAACACAAAAUCAUGACACUUGAACAAAAAGAUACCAUUAAGUAUUGCAUAGUGAUAUUAAAUAAUUAAAUAAUAUGUACAUCAAUUUGUGGGGAAUUAUUAUCUAAAAAAAAUAAACAAAUUUUUGUAGCAUAUGAUAAUUUUCCUUGCCAUCUUUAUAAAAUAUGCUAUUAUUCAAAUAAAACGUGAACCAUUUUUCAUUUUAAAAAAUCAAAUAAUGUAACGCCAUGCAAAUAAAACGUGGACCAUUAUUCAUUUAAAAGUACAAAUCAUGUAUGCCAACCACAGGAUUUGUCAAGUUGUAUAUGGAUACUUUAUGGGUCCAUUGUCUAUUUUUUGAAAUUAUUCUUAGGGCUUUUCAUAAAGCAAGGUAUGGAGGAAGAUUGGAUCUUGGGGCAUGUGACCGGCCACAAAGUGUAACCUUGAAGACACUAAAAGCAAUGUCAUCUUCCUUACAUCUGAAACAAGAUAUUAUUGUAUAUUACUCCUUACAUUUGAAGCAAGAUAUAAUAUACAAUCCAUUCACCUCUCACUAAAUACGUUUAACCACUAUUAAUAUGAAAUUUCGUAAAAUACUUUUUUUUUAUAGUGAAAAAUGACAAAUAAGUAGGAUAGAAACGAUAUUUGACAAAAUCUCAAAUUGGUUAUUGAAAUGGGAAAAUAUGUAUGGACAUAUUCCUGUGUUCUCAUGAACACGAGUUCAUCCGUGUUUUCGCGAAUACAACACUUUAGUGUUCUUGAGAAUACAAGCGUAGUUCCCUUCAGUUAUAAUUAAAUAUAUUGAACUCAAAUAUGAUAAGGGUAAAAUUAAUCCAAUAUAUAAUGGUAUUUAUUGUUAGAAAUUAUUAUAUUAAAAUUAAUUUUUUUUGUUUUAGAAGUGAUGGUAAAUUAGUUUUUAUUUUCUUUAUUAAGUAAAUUCUAAUGGUAUUGUAUCUAUUUUAAAGAGAAUUCAUGAUAAUAAUCUUUUUUUUUUCUCUCUCUUUUUAUCUUUGAAUCCUUUUUGGAUUUUAAUGUGUUAUCAAAGCUUGAUUUGAUAAGAGGUCAUGGGUUCAAACCCUCCCUCCACAUCAUUAAUGGCACUUUUGAUUUGUGAUUUUAUGGAAAAAAGUUUAAUUUCAUUCAUCACUUUCGUAUUUGUUUGAUCAUGGGAUAUCGUAAUGGGUGAUCUUGGUAUUUGAUUUCAUAUUUGUUUGUUGGAUAUGAAUCUAGAUUUUGACUAUCUUUGUUUAUUGAAUAUAGAUCCAAAAUUUUAUCGAUUUCUAUCUGUUGGAUAUGAAUCCAAAUUUUGUUUGUUUCUCUUUUUUCUAUAGUUUUGUAUCUACUUAUUCUUCUUCUUCUUUGAGCAUAUAUUUUUUCUAUCCUUAUUGAGUUUUAUAGUAUCUCUAUGUCUGAACUUGUUUGCAUUGAUUCCUUUCUUAAGUAAUACAGAUAGUUUCCAUGCAAAUAUUGGUAUUUGAUACUUUGAUUAAACAAUACAAAACUCAAUUGGUUAUUAAGGGAUUUCUCAACAACACGAGUGUAAAGUUGUUUACCAAAUCACACCCACUUUCACGUUUUUUAUUUUCAAUUGACAAACUUUGGAUGUUUCUUGCGGUCCCAUGGGUAGUUUGUGGAGAUGUUAGAAGUUAUUAAUAUAUUUAGUUACUAUAUUAGAAUUAUAUAUUUAUUAUUUAAUUAAUAUAUUAUUUAUUUAUUUAAUUAUUAUAUUAAAAUUAUUAUUAUUAUUUUAUAAGUAAGGAUAAAUUAGUCUUUAUAUUUUUAUUAAACCUAUUUAAAUUCUAAUAUUAUAUCUAUUUUAAAUAGAAUUCAUAAUGAGAAAUCCUAAAUUUUUUUUCUUCUCUCUCUUGUCCUCUUUGAGUCUGUUUUGGAUUACAAUAUUUAUAUCAUAACCCUAUUCAUUUAUAUCAUUUUUAUAAUAAUGUGGUCAUUUUAACUUUAUGGAUUUAUUAUUUUUAAUUUUUAUAACCCAUAAAAAUUUAUUAAUUUUACAUAUAUUUAAACUUAUAAAUUUUACUUUUUAUAAAUUUAUAAAAUUUUGAUGUUUCUUUUACCUUCUAACCAUUCUAGGGUUAAAAAAUUAGAUAACUAAUAAUUAAAGAAAAAAUAAAUACAUUUGCAAUAUUAUAAUUAUAAGAAAGUUUAAAUUGAUAAUAUACUUUAUCUUGCAUUUUAUAAUUAUAACAACCAAAAUAAUAAUUUCUUGAAAUUUUUGUACAUUUAAAGUUUAAAUGGAUUAUAAUCAUGGUAAUAAAUCUAACAAGUUAUAAUCAAGUCAAUUGAUUGUUUGUCUCCAUCAUACUCCAACUUGUUUAUUAAACAAAUCAUAUAAAUCUUGCUAUGUUGUUCAUGUAAUCAAUGUCUCAUGUUUGGAAUUUAGUCGAUUGAUUGUCACAAUUUAUAUAUCAUCCUAUAAUAAAAGUACAUUUCUAGUUUUAAAUAAACAUUUUUAAUAAAAAAAAUUAAUUGGCUAAAAAGGAUAAAAUAAUCCUUAUAUUAUGAAUUUAGCAUCUUCCAUAUUUUUGCUUAAAAAGUAACUUUUUUUUUUUUACA